CGCGUGGGUAAUCUACCUUGAGGUGGGGGAUAGCCUCGGGAAACCGAGGGUAAUACCGCAUGAGUCCUCAAUGACAUAAGUCGAUGAGGGGAAAGGCGGGGCUCCUUCGGGACCUGUCGCCUCUAGAUGAGCCCGCGUCCGAUUAGCUAGUUGGUGGGGUAAUGGCCUACCAAGGCAGCGAUCGGUAGCCGGCCUGAGAGGGUGAACGGCCACAUUGGGACUGAGACACGGCCCAG
rnacentral:rRNA from 1 species